UACGUAGGGGGCUAGCGUUGUCCGGAAUCAUUGGGCGUAAAGAGCGUGUAGGCGGCCCGGUAAGUCCGCUGUGAAAGUCGGGGGCUCAACCCUCGAAUGCCGGUGGAUACUGUCGGGCUAGAGUGCGGAAGAGGCGAGUGGAAUUCCUGGUGUAGCGGUGAAAUGACGCAGAGUAUCAGGAGGAACACCGAUUGCGAAGGCAGCUCGCUGGGACGUAACUGACGCUGAGGAGCGAAAGCGUGGGGAGCAAACAGG
rnacentral:rRNA from 1 species